UAACAGUCGGAAACGGCUGCUAAUACCGCAUAAUGCAGCGGCACCACAUGGUGACAGUUGUUAAAGCGGGGGAUCGUAAGACCUCGCGCCUGAAGAGGAGCCUGCGGCAGAUUAGCUAGUUGGUGAGGUAAAGGCCUACCAAGGCUGCGAUCGGUAGCUGGUCUGAGAGGAUGAUCAGCCACACUGGGACUGAGACACGGCCCAG
rnacentral:rRNA from 1 species